UUGCAGCUCACCCUGAUUAGGCUUUGAGGGACUGUCUCUGCAAAAGCAGAGGAAGGAAGGACCGUGCAGCUGUGUAGAGUUGGAAUUGAUCCCUAAGGCUGGACAUGGGGCGGGAAAGCCCCAAGGCACUAAGACAAAGGGGGAAGGCAUGAAUGCCACGGACAUAUGUGGAGAUCAGAGGACAGCGUUCACGAGUCCUUCAAAAACAGGGCACUAGAAGAGUGUUCAACAUAGGACUGACCGGGGCUGUCACACUACAGAGCUAUACCCCAGCCCACCUUUAGACUUUUAAUCCAGGUUCUGAGGGGAAUUUCCCAACAAGGAAGCCAGCGACAGACAGGGCUGGCUGACUGACGUGCAAGCUGAAGGAGCAGAAGAGCAGGUUCUGUUCUGAGCCGCGGAACCAGCAUCAAGUUCCGGUGCUGCUGGCAAAGCUGUGACCUUGAAGCCAUUUCUCCAGGAG
ensembl:antisense Gm28609 predicted gene 28609